AUCCUCUCCCCGUGUCUCCUGCCCCCUUCCUCUUGCCCCUACAAGUCCUCCCCGGGUGUCUUCCACCCUAAUCCGUCCUGGCCCCAACCCUCCUGCCUCCCUGCCCCGGAAGCGGAGGCAUGGCGAAGACGAAGACAGGACCGCUCCUUCUGUCGCCCCCCAGAAGAUCCAGCCCAGGUGAGGGCAGUCAGUCUGUCUCAAGGGAGGCCUGUGGCUGAGGUGGAGGGCUAGCUGACGGGGGACCCCCCUCCCAGCAUCUCUUCAAGGCACUUGGUCGGCCACUCUCCAUGGAGGCAGAGGGCGGCCGUGUCCUGCCAAGGUCAGCCCCCCGUCGCCAAGGUGUCAGUGCUCAGGGAUGAUGGGCACUGUAGUCCAGCUGCCAGUGCUCCUGCAGAGGUCCCAUGGCUGAACGAUGGGUCUUCCCCUGCCAGAGGAGCAAAUCCUGAUGGAUUCAUCUCCUAACACCCACCUACCCCUCUCAUUCUGCAGGAACAGCGCAUCUAGGAAAAGGAAGGCCAAAGGGCAGCAGUUAGCUUCAUCAUCCUUCCCCUUCGGCAGUCAAAACGGGCACCCUCGGCUCCUCCAGGUACGGCCUUGGGCAGGGGGCCUGGGGUCAGGGUUAGGGUCUCCAUCCACUCGGCCCCUUCCCAGGGACCAACCCCAGGAGGUUCGUCAGUUUGCUGGUUCGUUUGUUUCCGCUGGUAGACCUGGGUCCCUUCUUUCUUUCCGUAGGAGCUGUGCCAGCCUCCGGGGAGGAGCUGAUGGAUUGCACGCCGGCACCAUAGAAAAUCAAGAGCAGCCCCAAGAAGAAGACGAGUCAAGAGAGCCGGCGAUGUCAAGAUCACUUCCUUUUCUGGGGCCCCCAUUCCCCCUCUUUCUUUUCCUUCUCUAUAUAUAUCAAUGGUAAUGUUGGCCUGUUUUUAAAAUGAAAUUAGUUUCUGUUUGUCUAUUUAGCUGAAAAGCCUGUUGCCUUCUUUCCAAGGGAGGCGGGUGGGUAAGGAAGUCGGGUGGCGGGCGAGAGGGAGCCCACAGUCCCCCAGCGGGGGCCUGGGCAGGCGGGCAUGGGGCAUCCGGCUCUUGCCCCCUUUGCUCCCCCACGCUCGGCAUGAGGUUGGGGAGAAAAGAACCCCCCUCCCAAGGGUUAGGGUCUCCGUCCAUUAGGCCCCUUCCCAGGGACCAACCCCAGGAGGUUCGUCAGUUUGCUGGUUCGUUUGUUUCCGCUGGUAGACCUGGGUCCCUUCUUUCUUUCCGUAGGAGCUGUGCCAGUCUCCGGGGAGGAGCCGAUGGAUUGCACGCCGGCGCCGUAGAAAAUCAAGAGGUGUGCAGAUACAGGUCAGGAAGGUGAGGGCUACUCCCCAUUGGGGCAGGGGGGCAGAGGGAGCUGUGCCCUCCACCUCCACCCCCUUCCAGGGGAGAAAGUGGGGCAGGGUGGGUGGGUUGGUGUGGGAGAGCGAGGCUGCCAGACCAGCCCACCGGGGGGAAGCUGGGUCUCCCCAAAGAGAGCAGAGCAGGGACCCCAGUGGGGGCUCAGCCCCUUCCCCAGGACCCUCACGGCCUCCCCUUUUCUCUUCCAGAAGCCCCAAGAAGAAGAAGAAGCAAGCGACCUGACCCGGAGAUUUCAAGAUGACUUCUUUUCCUUUUCUGGGCCCCCCGUUUUCCCCCCUUCUUUUCCAUAUUAAUGUUGAUAUGUUUAAAAAUCAAAUUAGAUUUUUUAUCUCUAUUUAAGCCCAAUAGCCUGGUGCCUUUUUUUCCAAGGGAGGUGGGUGGGUGAGGAAGUCGGGUGGCGGGCGAGAGGGAGCCCACAGUCCCCCAGCGGGGGCCCUGGGCAGGCGGGCAUGGGGCAGGCAUGGGGUGUCUGGCUCUUGUCCCCUUCGCUUCCCCACCCCACCCAUGAGGAUGGGGAGAAA
ensembl:lncRNA